CAGAGCUGCGCGGUCAUAACGAUCAGAAACGCAGCCGAGACGGAAUGCUUGACCCGUUUGACGUGACCACGGAUGUACUGGCACAAUGAACGGGAUUGGAAAGGUCGGGCUUGCCCCGGCCUUUUUGUUU
rnacentral:sRNA from 1 species